UUUUUUUUCAAUUUUAAAAAAGUUUUAUUCUACCGUUUUAAAAGCCUUUCUAUCUAACCAUAUUUCCCCAUUCAAAAUUGAUUACAUUCUGUAUUCUACAUCUCAGAAGUGAUUGCUUCACAAACCCAAAUUUAUCUUUCUAACAUUCCAUUUUCCACCGUUUAUCUUCUCCUUCUCCUUAUCCAUAUAUUCAUUCAUUUAUCUUUCUCCGAUUGCCCAAUUUCUUCGCUUCAAAUCCAACUUCUUUCGCUUAAUUCCAGUUUCAAUCGCUCAAAUCUAAGUUCAAUCUUUAGUCGCUCACGUCCGUUUCGUUCGUUCAAAUCGCCCUAAAUUCUUCAAUCGCUCAAAUCCAGCUUCAUUUGUUCAAAUCCAGCUUCUUUGAUCAAAUCCAGCUUCAAUCUUCAAUCACUAAAUUCUAAUUUCAAUCUUCAACCGCUCAAAUCCUCCAAUCGCUCAAAUCCCUUUUUGGCAUAUUUUGGUUCACGAGGAAUUGAAAAAGCUUUAUUGAAUCACUUGGGAGUGAAGCGCAAUGUGGCUACUCCCUUAUUUUGGAUCAACAGCCAGGAAGAAGCUUAAUUUCCACUAUCUUGGGAAGAGCUUGAUAAAAACCUUUAUGUUCUCCGAUUCUCAAAUAUAAUAUUUGACCAUUAUGGACAAGGCAGUAUAUAAGAAAUGAACAGAUGAUAUUCUAAGAGGAUUUUGGCACUGAAGGACGCUACAUGUAACAUUUCUUCCUUAGAAACAUUCACACUUCCUUAUCUAUUAUAUGGAUUCUCAGCAAUUUUCCCUCAUAUACUUUCUGUAUUGGUGUUAAAGCUCUAACUUGUUAUCAUUUUUCUUCUUGAACUUUAAAGUAAAGGUUUUGUUUGUUCCCGAUUCUGUAUUGGUGAAGUUUUCUACUUACUGAACUGUGCCUUUUU